rnacentral:rRNA from 1 species
AUUGAACGCUGGCGGCAGGCCUAACACAUGCAAGUCGAGCGGAGCGGAGGACGGGUGAGUGAUGACUACGAAGCUGCCUGGUAGAGGGGGAUAAAGUCCGGAAAGGGGCGCUAGUACCGCACACUCUCAGCUGAGCCUAGGUCGGAUUAGCUAGUUGGUUGGGGAAAGGCCUACCAAGACGACUAACCUGAACUGGUCUGAGAGGAUGAUCAGGCACACUCGAACGUGGACACGGUCCAGACUCCUACGGGAGGCAGCAGUGGGGAAGAUUGGACAAUGGGCGAAAGCCUGGUCCAGCCAUGCCGCGUGUGGGAAGAAGGUCUUCGGAUUGUAAAGCACUGUAAGUUGGGAGGCGUUACCAACAGAAGAAGCACCGGCGAACUUCGUGCCAGCAGCGGCGGUAAUUC